ACCCGCUGAACUUAAGCAUAUCAAUAAGCGGAGGAAAAGAAACCAACAGGGAUUGCCCUAGUAACGGCGAGUGAAGCGGCAACAGCUCAAAUUUGAAAUCUGGCUCUUUUAGGGUCCGAGUUGUAAUUUGCAGAGGGCGCUUUGGCAUUGGCAGCGGUCCAAGUUCUUUGGAACAGGACGUCACAGAGGGUGAGAAUCCCGUACGUGGUCGCUAGCCCUCACCGUGUAAAGCCCCUUCGACGAGUCGAGUUGUUUGGGAAUGCAGCUCUAAAUGGGAGGUAAAUUUCUUCUAAAGCUAAAUACUGGCCAGAGACCGAUAGCGCACAAGUAGAGUGAUCGAAAGAUGAAAAGCACUUUGGAAAGAGAGUCAAAUAGCACGUGAAAUUGUUGAAAGGGAAGCGCUUGCAGCCAGACUUGCCUGUAGUUGCUUAUCCGGACUUUUGUCCGGUGCACUCUUCUGCGGGCAGGCCAGCAUCAGUUUAGGCGGUUGGAUAAAGGUCUCUGUCAUGUACCUCUCUUCGGGGAGGCCUUAUAGGGGAGACGACAUGCAACCAGCCUGGACUGAGGUCCGCGCAUCUGCUAGGAUGCUGGCGUAAUGGCUGU
rnacentral:rRNA from 1 species